AACGUAGGUGGCGAGCGUUGUCCGGAAUGACUGGGCGUAAAGGGUGCGUAGGCGGCUUAUCAAGUUAGAAGUGAAAUACCUGGGCUCAACUUGGGUGCUACUUCUAAGACUGAUGAGCUUGAGUGUGGGAGAGGUAAGUGGAAUUCCUAGUGUAGCGGUGGAAUGCGUAGAUAUUAGGAGGAACACCGGCGGCGAAGGCGGCUUACUGGACCACAACUGACGCUGAGGCACGAAAGCGUGGGGAGCAAACAGG
rnacentral:rRNA from 1 species